AUUACUUCUCUCAAGAAAGACUUCCAGGAAGUAAUUUUUCGUUUGCCAGAUUGGUUUUACUUACUAGGUGGGGGUUGCCAUUGACUACACCGAGGUCAGCUAGAAGAUUGAUGAUUUAUUCUGCUAUCAAUGCAGUCAGCUCAGUCAACAAAAUGAAAUGGAAACAUAUGGAACUAGGAGUCUAAGUACCAAGUGAUUCCAGCUCUACUUAACUGCAAUCUUUGGGACAAGAAGUGACUGAGUUGGGAUAAACAUACAGUGUAAGACAGAAG